AAUCAACGCUGGCGGCGUGCCUAACACAUGCAAGUCGAGCGCGAAAGUGGACUUCGGUCCACGAGUAGAGCGGCGAACGGGUGAGUUACGCGUGGGUGAUCUACCUUCGAGUGGGGAAUAACACUGGGAAACUGGUGCUAAUACCGCAUGACAUCUUCGGUUCGUUCCGAAGAUCAAAGCUGGGGACCGUAAGGCCUGGCGCUUGAAGAGGAGCCCGCGUCCGAUUAGCUAGUUGGCGGGGUAAUGGCCCACCAAGGCUUCUAUCGGUAGCCGGCCUGAGAGGGCGGACGGCCACACUGGGACUGAGACACGGCCCAGACUCCUACGGGAGGCAGCAGUGGGGAAUUUUUGUCAAUGGGGGAAACCCUGAACAAGCAACGCCGCGUGGAGGAUGAAGGCCCUCGGGUCGUAAACUCCUGUCGAUCGGGAAGAAUGCACUCGGCCCAAUACGCCGUUGUGUUGACUGUACCGGUGGAGGAAGCCACGGCUAACUCUGUGCCAGCAGCCGCGGUAAGACAGAGGUGGCAAGCGUUGUUCGGAAUUACUGGGCGUAAAGGGCGCGCAGGCGGUUCGUCAAGUCCCGUGUGAAAUCCCCCGGCUCAACUGGGGAACUGCGCGGGAUACUAGCGAGC
rnacentral:rRNA from 1 species